rnacentral:rRNA from 1 species
UACAGAGGGUGCAAGCGUUAAUCGGAAUUACUGGGCGUAAAGGGCGCGUAGGUGGUUUAUUAAGUCAGAUGUGAAAUCCCUGGGCUUAACCUAGGAAUUGCAUUUGAAACUGAUUGGCUAGAGUAUGGGAGAGGGAAGUGGAAUUUCCAGUGUAGCGGUGAAAUGCGUAGAUAUUGGAAGGAACACCAGUGGCGAAGGCGACUUCCUGGACCAUUACUGACACUGAGGCGCGAAAGCGUGGGGAGCGAACAGG